UAGGGAAUCUUCGGCAAUGGACGGAAGUCUGACCGAGCAACGCCGCGUGAGUGAAGAAGGUUUUCGGAUCGUAAAGCUCUGUUGUUAGAGAAGAACGUUGGUAGGAGUGGAAAAUCUACCAAGUGACGGUAACUAACCAGAAAGGGACGGCUAACUACGUGCCAGCAGCCGCGGUAAUACGUAGGUCCCGAGCGUUGUCCGGAUUUAUUGGGCGUAAAGCGAGCGCAGGCGGUUCUUUAAGUCUGAAGUUAAAGGCAGUGGCUUAACCAUUGUACGCUUUGGAAACGGGAGGACUUGAGUGCAGAAGGGGAGAGUGGAAUUCCAUGUGUAGGGGUGAAAUGCGUAGAUAUAUGGAGGAACACCGGUGGCGAAAGCGGCUCUCUGGUCUGUAACUGACGCUGAGGCUCGAAAGCGUGGGGGGCAAACAGG
rnacentral:rRNA from 1 species